rnacentral:rRNA from 1 species
UACGGAGGAUCCAAGCGUUAUCCGGAAUUAUUGGGCGUAAAGAGCUCGUAGGCGGUUUGUUGCGUCGGCCGUGAAAACCUGCAGCUUAACUGUGGGCCUGCGGCCGAUACGGGCAGACUUGAGUUCGGUAGGGGAGACUGGAAUUCCUGGUGUAGCGGUGGAAUGCGCAGAUAUCAGGAGGAACACCGAUGGCGAAGGCAGGUCUCUGGGCCACUACUGACGCUGAGAAGCGAAAGCAUGGGGAGCGAACAGG